GGCAGUGUAGCCAAGUGGUUACGGCGUCACGUUUAGGCAUGUUCCCAAACCGUGAUGGGUUUCCCGCGCGAGUUCGAAUCUCGUCACUGUCA